UGCCAGCCGCCGCGGUAAUACGUAAGGUGAAAGCGUUAGUCGGAAUUACUGGGCGUAAAGCGCGCGUAGGCGGCUAGAUAAGUCGGGUGUGAAAGCCCCGGGCUCAACCUGGGAACUGCAUUCGAUACUGUCUGGCUAGAGUGUGAUAGAGGGAGGCGGAAUUCCGCAUUUAGCGGUGAAAGGCGUAGAGAUGCGGAGGAACACCAAUGUCGAAGGCAGCCUCCUGGAUCAACACUGACGCUGAGUUUCGACAGCGUGGUGCGCAAACAGUAUUAGCUA
rnacentral:rRNA from 1 species